rnacentral:rRNA from 1 species
UCGGGAAUAUUGCGCAAUGGGCGAAAGCCUGACCCAGCAACGCCGCGUGAAGGAUGAAGUAUUUCGGUAUGUAAACUUCGAAAGAAUAGGAAGAAUAAAUGACGGUACUAUUUAUAAGGUCCGGCUAACUACGUGCCAGCAGCCGCGGUAAUACGUAGGGACCAAGCGUUGUUCGGAUUUACUGGGCGUAAAGGGCGCGUAGGCGGCUUGACAAGUCACUUGUGAAAUCUCUGGGCUUAACCCAGAACGGCCAAGUGAAACUGUCAUGCUAGAGUGCAGAAGGGGCAAUCGGAAUUCUUGGUGUAGCGGUGAAAUGCGUAGAUAUCAAGAGGAACACCUGAGGUGAAGACGGGUUGCUGGGCUGACACUGACGCUGAGGCGCGAAAAGCCAGGGGAGCAAACGGGAUUAGAUACCCCCGUAGUCCCUGAGCGGGCUGGCAAGGCGCAU